rnacentral:rRNA from 1 species
GACGAACGCUGGCGGCGUGCUUAACACAUGCAAGUCAAGGAGAAAGGUUCCUUCGGGAAACGAGUAAACUGGCGAACGGGUGAGUAACACGUAGGUAACCUGCCCUAGAGACUGGGAUACCCUGAGGAAACUUAGGCUAAUACCGGAUAAGACCACAUUUCAUAUGGAAUGUGGGAAAAGGAGUCUCAAUCUUCACUCGAGGAUGAGUUCGCGGACCAUUAGCUUGUUGGUGAGAUAAAAGCUCACCAAGGCAACGAUGGUUAGCCGGCCUGAGAGGGCGAUCGGCCACACUGGAACUGAGACACGGCCCAGACUCCUACGGGAGGCAGCAGUGGGGAAUUUUCCGCAAUGGGCGAAAGCCUGACGGAGCAACGCCGCGUGAGGGAUG